GAUGAACGCUAGCGGCAGGCUUAAUACAUGCAAGUCGUGGGCAGCAUGAGUAGCAAUACUUGAUGGCGACCGGCAAACGGGUGAGGAACACGUACACAACCUUCCUUCAAGCGGGGAAUAGGCCCAAGAGAAAUUUGGAUUAAUACCCCAUAAAUAUAUUUGAUAAGGCAUCUUAUUAAUAUUAAAGGCUUCGGCACUAGAUGAUGGGUGUGCGGCUGAUUAGAUAGUUGCGGGUAAGGCCACCAAGUCUACGAUCAGUAGCUGAUGUGAGAGCAUGAUCAGCCACACGGGCACUGAGACACGGGCCCGACUCCUACGGGGAGGCAGCAGUAAGGAUAUGGACAAUGGAACGAAGUCUGAUCCAGCCAUGCCGCGUGAAGGAUUAAGGUCCUCGUGGAUUGUAAACUUCUUUAUAUGGG
rnacentral:rRNA from 1 species